GACUUCAACUGAAAAAGUCAUCAACAACAAAGUUGUAUAAUCCAUCUAGAUCCACAUUUUUUAUUUUAGUCAUUUCUUCAUCCGAUAAAGUGAUAGUAACAUUGUUCAUAAAUUUUACAUAUCUCACAUAUGGUUUCAUAAAUGAUAAUAGAGAUGUGUAAAUUUUGUGAACAAUGUUACUAUCACUUUAUCGGAUGAAGAAAUGACCAAAAUAAAAGUUAUAGACAUUGAUGAGUUAAAUAACUUUGUUGUUGAUGACUUUUUCAGUUGAAAUC
rnacentral:pre_miRNA from 2 species